GUGUUCGGUUGGGUCGCAUUUGCUCUCUCUCAGAGAGGUCUCACUAUCAUUUAAAAAAAUUGGUGUUUCGAAUAUCUUGUAAACCCUCCCCCCCCCCCGCGCGGGCGGCGCGGGCGGGGGGGGGCGCGGCUCCAACAGUGCACACGGGGUGGAGAGAGUAACACAGGAUUGGUGAUGAUCCAUCAGCAGGUUCACCUACAGAUA
rnacentral:misc_RNA from 1 species